rnacentral:rRNA from 1 species
AUACGGAGGGUGCAAGCGUUAGUCGGAAUUACUGGGCGUAAAGCGUACGUAGGCGGUCCGUUAAGUUAGAUGUGAAAGCCCCGGGCUUAACCUGGGAACUGCAUUUAAAACUGGCGGACUAGAGUUGAGUAGAGGGGAGUGGAAUUUCAGGUGUAGCGGUGAAAUGCGUAGAGAUCUGAAGGAACACCAGUGGCGAAGGCGACUCCCUGGACUCGAACUGACGCUGAGGUACGAAAGCGUGGGUAGCAAACGGGAUUAGAAACCCCAGUAGUCC